rnacentral:rRNA from 1 species
AGUGAACGCUGGCGGCGUGCCUAAUACAUGCAAGUCGAACGGAGUGGCGCACGGGUGAGUAAUGUAUAGCUAAUAUGCCCUCAACUAGAGGACAACAGUUGGAAACGCAUGCUAAUACUCUAUAGUGUAGGAUGAGGCUAUAUUGUAUCAGCUAGUUGGUGAGGUAAUGGCUCACCAAGGCUAUGACAAAUAAAUGGUAUGAGAGGAUGAUCAGUCGCGCGGGAACUGAGACACGGUCCGGACUCCUACGGAAGGAGGCAGAAGGGAAUAUUGCUCGAUGGGGGAAACGCUGAAGAAGCAUCGCCGCGUGGAGGAUGACAGUUUACGGUGCGUAAACUCCUGUUGUUAGCGAUACGGUACCUAACGAAUAAGCACCGGCUAAGUCCGUGCCAGCAGCCGCGGUAAUUC